UCCAGGCAGCGCUUAGUGCAUAGGUGUGCCCUAAAAUAUAACCUGGAGAGACAAGUUUGGCAUAAAGAACUGCUUUCCCAUUGCCUUGAAUUAUAAAAGGGGAAUUUUGCUCCUAAACCUGGGGUCUCCCACGGGUGCCCAGUGAUAGCUUUCUGAGUGUCCACAUGCCUGGCCACCAGGAUCCCACAGCCCUCUGCAGGCACACAGAAGGCUCUUUCUCACCCUGCCAGCCGCUGGCUGCACAUGAAGAAACACGCAGGCAGCCCUGGGGGAGGCGGCAGCCCCUCCCUGCAUGCUUGGUGUUCCCUUCUCGACGUGGCAGCAGGGACGGAUUCUCCAACGCAGGUCCAAGCGUUCUAGAACCGUAUUCGGACUGGGCGUGGGACCCCCUUGAUGCUCAUCUCGGGUCUAAACCGGGGCUCCCAGGUGAAGCCACACUCCAGGCACUCCCUGAGAAUGGGCUGUGUGUUUAUUUGGGUUAUUCCCAAAGCAGCCUCCAGAUGGCUGUUUGCGCUGUGAGCUCCGGGGGCAGCGGGACUGAGUGGAGAAACGCUGUGAAACAGUUGCAAAACCCGUGCAUCACAAUCAACCCAUCCAAGGGGUAAGGGAGCUGGUAUUCACUCUUCCUAGUAGCUACUUCCCGGCAGCCUGCCUCGUCCUCAGGCCGAGUCUCCUUCUGCGGUUCUGGGGGGAAAGUCCCCAGGCACAGAGAUGCAAGAACCAUAGGUGGAAGUUUGCUGGACUUGAAGUUGCAAGGUGGUGAGGCUGGAGCCCCUGGCCAUUUUGCCACCUCAGAAGGAGAGCCCGUUUGAGAAUGGAGUCAAUCCAGGGAAACUACGUCCUGCUGGCCUUGGUGAGCCCCUGCCUCAGGCACCUGGGAAGACAGCAUUACCUCUGGACACUUCAUUUAUCCAAGUCAGUGAAACGACCCUUCUGGCUUUACCAGCGUACGUUGGGUUUCGUGACUCUUGCAGGCAAGUGUCCUAAUCGUUAGAUCACCCAGCAGCUCCUGAUUAUCAUCCACAAAUGAUUCGAGGUUGGGUAACAAGUUAUCACAUCUAAUUAUCUCAUGCUGAUUGUGUGUGGAAACAAAAGAGCCCUCUCUCUCUUUUUCUUCCCGCCUCUCUCUCCUCCCACGCCCCUUGGCUCCAAACUUGGCUGUUCUGCACAGGGCACUGGGCUAUGGGUCAGGAGACCUGGGUUCUCACCCUAGCUCUUCCUCAACCUACCCCUGUGACCUCGAGCAAGCCAAUGCUCUCAGGCUGUAAUCUUCUCCUCUGUCAAAUGGAAAGGCUGGACUUCGUGACCUCUUCGGUUCUCUAACACUAACAUUCCAUGGACAUCUUUGCCCUUCAUCCCACAUUUAGCUCGUCACUGAGGCCCACUGAAGCUUCCUUGGAUGUCUCUCAGCCAGCCCUCCUGCUAUUACCUUGGAAGAGGAGUGGCUCCUCCCUUUCUUCCUGAAAUGCUGCUUUCACCACUGGCUCUAAAUUUAGAACUAAAAAGAAUUUUGCAGUGAGCCUGGGAGGGCUCCCUGGGAAAAUCUGGACGGACAAGGGGACAUCUCCGUUAAUUCCGAUCCUCAGAGAACGAAACUGAGAUGAAACUUCAGCUCCUAAUUUUCCCAGACAACUCAGUGUCCUAGACUGUGUCCUGCCUGCAGCCCUCACCCCCUCAGCCCAGGGCCGCUAACCAGUCCACCCACCUCCUGUAGGCCCGGCCAUUCUGGCCCUUUUGGGGUUUCAGAGUUUUGUAGCUUCUAUCUCCCUCCUCUGUGGACUAGUGUUUUUAGGGUGAGGGGCUCUGGUCCAACAGCUGUGGCAGCCUCCCAGGGGCCAACUCAAGCUUUUGAAGCAGGAGUGGUUUCUCCAGAGCCUCAAGCCUAUAACAUGGGCCCCUGGCGUCAGGGAGGCAACCAGGCUCCCGUGAGGCCUGAACAAUGGAGCAGGUGUGAGUUUCCUACUACUGCUGUAACAAAUUACCACAAACAUAGUGGCUUCAAACAACACGAGUUUAUUAUCUUAUACAGGCAUCUACCUCAGAGAUAUUGCAGGUUUGGUUCCAGACCACCACAAUUAAGCAAAUAUCACAAUAAAGCAAAUCAAGUGAAUUUUUUGGUUCUCCACUGCAUAUAAAUGUAUGUUUACACUAUACUGCAGCCUAUUAAGUGUGCGAUAGCAUUAUGUCAAAAAAAAAAAAAAGAUGCAUGUGCCUUAAUUUUAAAAUACUUUAUUGACACAGAGACACGAAGUUGGCAAAUGCUGUUGGAAAAAUGGCGCCGAGACACUUGCUCGACUCCCGGCUGCCAAAAAAUUUCAACCUGUACAAAACACGGUAUCUGUGAGGUGCCAUAAAACAAGGUAAGCCUAUAUAUAUAGUUCUGGAGAUCAGAAAUACAAAGUCAGUAGCAGGGCUGCGUUUCUUCUGGAGGUUCUAGGGGAGAAUCCAUUUCCUUGUCUGUUCCAGCUUCUACUAGCCAUCCACGUCCCUCAGUUUAUGGCUCUACAGCACUCCAAUCUCUACCUCCACCGUCCCUACCUCUUGAUGAAGGCCCACCCAGAUAAUCCAGAAUAUUCUCCCCAUCUCAAGAUCCUUCAAUACAUCUGCAAAGUGCCAUCUGCCAUGUGCAGUGGCGUAAUCACACGUUCCAGGGAUUAGGACAGGGACGUCUCCUGGGGACUAUUAUUAAGCCCACCACAGAGCUCAAAGACGGGAAGAGGACUCCCCUUAAUGGUAUUUUUCUAGAACCAGGCCUUUUGCCUCAAGAAUUUUUAAAAUAGCAUAACAAAGCACAGCUAAUUUUU